UACGGAGGGGGCUAGCGUUGUUCGGAAUUACUGGGCGUAAAGCGCGCGUAGGCGGCCCUGCAAGUCGGGGGUGAAAGCCCGAGGCUCAACCUCGGAACUGCGUCGGAUACUGGAUGGCUUGAAUUCGGGAGAGGGAUGCAGAAUUCCAGGUGUAGCGGUGAAAUGCGUAGAUAUCUGGAGGAAUACCGGUGGCGAAGGCGGCAUCCUGGACCGACAUUGACGCUGAUGAGCGAAAGCUAGGGGAGCAAACGGG
rnacentral:rRNA from 1 species